rnacentral:rRNA from 1 species
ACGGAAGGCAGCAGUGGGGAAUAUUGCACAAUGGGGGAAACCCUGAUGCAGCGACGCCGCGUGAGUGAAGAAGUAUUUCGGUAUGUAAAGCUCUAUCAGCAGGGAAGAAAAUGACGGUACCUGACUAAGAAGCCCCGGCUAACUACGUGCCAGCAGCCGCGGUAAUACGUAGGUGGCAAGCGUUAUCCGGAUUUACUGGGUGUAAAGGGCGCGUAGGCGGGGAUGCAAGUCAGGUGUGAAAUCUAUGGGCUUAACCCAUAAACUGCAUUUGAAACUGUAUCUCUUGAGUGUCGGAGAGGUAGAUGGAAUUCCUAGUGUAGCGGUGAAAUGCGUAGAUAUUAGGAGGAACACCAGUGGCGAAGGCGAUCUACUGGACGAUAACUGACGCUGAGGCGCGAAAGCGUGGGGAGCAAACAGGAUUAGAUACCCUGGUA